GUGCUCACUAUGGCAGCACAUAUACUAAAACUGGAACCAUACAAAGAAGAUUAGCAUGCCCCUGGGCAA
ensembl:snRNA U6 U6 spliceosomal RNA